GACGAACGCUGGCGGCGUGCUUAACACAUGCAAGUCGAACGGAAAGGCCCUGCUUUUGUGGGGUUCUCGAGUGGCGAACGGGUGAGUAACACGUGAGUAACCUGCCCUUGACUUUGGGAUAACUUCAGGAAACUGGGGCUAAUACCGGAUAGGAUCUCCUGCUGCAUGGUGGGGGUUGGAAAGUUUCGGCGGUUGGGGAUGGACUCGCUGCUUAUCAGCUUCUUGGUGGGGUAGUGGCUUACCAAGGCUUUGACGGGUAGCCGGCCUGAGAGGGUGACCGGCGACAUGGGGACUGAGAUACGGCGCAGAGGAGAACGGGAGGCAGCAGGGGGGAAUAUUGCAGAAUGGGCGGAAGCGUGAUGAAGCAAAGCCGCGUGCGGGAUGACGGCCUUCGGGUGGAAAAAAGAUUUAGAAUGAGACGAAGAGUGAGUGACGGUAAUGGGUAAAGAAGCACCGGCUAACUACGUG
rnacentral:rRNA from 1 species